UGAGCAACCUGCCCUUAGCUCUGGGAUAACCCCGGGAAACCGGGGCUAAUACCGGAUACGAGUCCGAGCGGCAUCACGCGGACUGGAAAGUUUUUCGGCUAAGGAUGGGCUCGCGGCCUAUCAGCUUGUUGGUGGGGUAAUGGCCUACCAAGGCGACGACGGGUAGCCGGCCUGAGAGGGCGACCGGCCACACUGGGACUGAGACACGGCCCAGACUCCUACGGGAGCAG
rnacentral:rRNA from 1 species